ACGGGGCCCGGCGACAAGCGGUGGAGCAUGUGGUUUAAUUCGAUGAUACGCGAGGAACCUUACCUGGGCUCAAAUGUAUGUUGACGUAUUCUGAAAGGGAUACUUCUUCGGACAAUAUACAAGGUGCUGCAUGGUUGUCGUCAGCUCGUGCCGUGAGGUGUCGGGUUAAGUCCCAUAACGAGCGCAACCCUAUCAUUAGUUGCCAUCAGGUCAAGCUGGGGACUCUAAUGAAACUGCCUACGCAAGUAGUGAGGAAGGUGGGGACGACGUCAAAUCAGCACGGCCCUUACGUCCAGGGCUACACACGUGCUACAAUGGCCGGUACAAAGGGCAGCUACCUGGUGACAGGAUGCAAAUCUCCAAAGUCGGUCUCAGUUCGGAUCGGAGUCUGCAACCCGACUCCGUGAAGUUGGAUUCGCUAGUAAUCGCGCAUCAGCCAUGGCGCGGUGAAUACGUUCCCGGGCCUU
rnacentral:rRNA from 1 species